GACGAACGCUGGCGGCGUGCCUAAUACAUGCAAGUCGAACGCAGUGGGGACGGGUGAGGAACACGUGGGUAACCUACCAUCAGAGGGGAUAACACUUGGAAACAGGUGCUAAACCGAUACUGAUGGAUGAACCCGCGGUGCAUUAGCUAGUUGGUGAGGUACCGCCGCACCAGGUCCACGAUGCAUAGCCGACCUGGGAGGGUGAUGUGCCACACUGGGACUGGGACACGGCCCAGACUCCGACGGGAGGCAGCAGUAGGGAAGCUUCGGCAAUGGACGAAAGUCUGACCGAGCAACGCCGCGUGAGUGAAUAAGGUUUUCGGAUCGUAAAACUCUGUUGUUAGAGAAGCGGUAUCUAACCAGAAAGCCACGGCUAACUACGUGCCAGCCGCCGCGGUAAUAC
rnacentral:rRNA from 1 species